rnacentral:misc_RNA from 1 species
GAUGAAGAACGCAGCGAAAUGCGAUAAGUAAUGCGAAUUGCAGAAUUUCCGUGAGUCAUCGAAUCUUUGAACGCACAUUGCGCCCGCUAGUAUUCUGGCGGGCAUGCCUGUUCGAGCGUCAUUUCAACCAUCAAGCCCUGUUUAGGCUUGUGUUGGGGCCCUGCGGCUGCCGCAGCCCCCUAAAUGCAGUGGCGGGCUCGUUGUCACUCCGAGCGCAGUAGCGUAUCUCGCUCUGGGCGUGGCGGCGGGUGCUAGCCGUGAAACACCCACUAAGGUUGACCUCGGAUCAGGUAGGAAUACCCGCUGAACUUAAGCAUAUCAAUAAGCGGAGGA